rnacentral:lncRNA from 1 species
UCCUGGAGGGAUCCAGAGGGGCCUCAGAGCGGUUCUGGAGGUUCUUGAGAAGUUCUGGAGGCCUUUGAGUGAUGGUGGAGAAGUUCUGGAGGUCCUGAAGGAGUUUCAAAGCUUCUGGAGGAGUUCUGGAGGUCCUGGAGGAGUUCUCAAGAAGUUCUGGAGGUCCUGGAUGGUCCUGGAGGCCUUUGAGUGGUCCUGGAGAAGUUCUGGAGGUCCUGGAUGGAUCCAGAGGGGCCUCAGAGCGGUUCUGGAGGUCCUGGAUGGAUC